CCUACGGGAGGCUGCAGUGAGGAAUAUUGGUCAAUGGCCGCAAGUCUGAACCAGCCAAGCCGCGUGCGGGAAGACUGUCCUAUGGGUUGUAAACCUCUUUUGUCCGAGAGCAAAGUCACCCACGUGUAUGUGUUGGAAAGUACCUGAAGAAUAAGCAUCGGCUAACUCCGUUCCAGCAGCCGCGGUAAUACGGAGGAUUCAAGCGUUAUCCGGAUUUAUUGGGUUUAAAGGGUGCGUAGGCGGGUUAUCAAGUCAGCGGUAAAAUCGUGGAGCUCAACUCCAUCUAGCCUUUGAAACUGAUGAUCUUGAGUGGGCGUGAGGUAUGCGGAAUGCGUGGUGUAGCGGUGAAAUGCAUAGAGAUCAUGCAGAACUCCGAUUGCGAAGGCAGCAUACCGGCGUACUUCUGACGCUGAAGCACGAAAGCGUGGGGAGCGAACAGGAUUAGAUACCCUAGUAGUC
rnacentral:rRNA from 1 species